rnacentral:rRNA from 1 species
UACAGAGGGGGCAAGCGUUGUUCGGAAUUACUGGGCGUAAAGGGCGCGUAGGCGGCCUGCUAAGUCGAACGUGAAAUCCCCGGGCUCAACCCGGGAACUGCGUCCGAUACUGGCAGGCUCGAAUCCGGGAGAGGGAUGUGGAAUUCCAGGUGUAGCGGUGAAAUGCGUAGAUAUCUGGAGGAACACCGGUGGCGAAGGCGGCAUCCUGGACCGGUAUUGACGCUGAGGCGCGAAAGCCAGGGGAGCAAACGGG